rnacentral:rRNA from 1 species
UACAGAGGUCUCAAGCGUUGUUCGGAAUUACUGGGCGUAAAGGGCUCGUAGGCGGCCAACUAAGUCGGAUGUGAAAUCCCCAGGCUCAACUUGGGAACUGCAUCCGAUACUGGAUGGCUUGAAUUCGGGAGAGGGAUGCAGAAUUCCAGGUGUAGCGGUGAAAUGCGUAGAUAUCUGGAGGAAUACCGGUGGCGAAGGCGGCAUCCUGGACCGGCAUUGACGCUGAUGAGCGAAAGCUAGGGGAGCAAACGGG